CUUUCUUCAACAAUGCGGAGGCAGUUGAACAGGCGGCGGUGGGUCAGCUGUUUCCUUGCACUCAUGGCCCUCCUUUUCUGAAUUCUUUGCCGCUGGGGCCACUUCGUGAAAGAGGUAUUCGCACUUGGCCCAAAUCUGACGUAGCUUUUCGUAGGUGGCAUGCUCGUCUUGUGGGUCAUGGUCCUACUAAGGCACUUUUUGAUAGCGCUAGGAUUUCUGAUUUGUUGGAAGUCUCUAUUCGCCCCCCUACUUUUGAUUCAGCGCUUUUUCCGAUUGCUCUGAGCUUUUGGUCCUCUGAAUAUAACACCUUUAUUUUUCCUCUUGGCCCCAUAUCUAUUACGUUAAGGGAUGUUGGGGCCCUAGUAAAUUUACCACCUUUGGGCGAUACCAUUUUCCCAGGCAUCUUAGUUUCUGGUGGCGCCCCUCAGUUCGGUAAAAACUAUACCGAUUCUUAUUCAAGCCUGCAGACACUCCACAAUCAUUCGAGUGCUGAGCCUACUCAUGCUGAGCGAGUGGCCUUCCUUUUAGUUUGGCUUUGUAAAUAUGUAUUAUGCGUGCCUAGUAUAAAGCCCUCUCUGAGUUAUCUACCUAUAGCGCACGAACUGGCGCGUGGUAGGCCUUUGAAUUUAUGUUCUUUGUUUUUGGCUGCUAUUUAUAGAGGCAUGGCCUCUCUUCAGGCUCAAUUGAAGAAUGGUGCAUCUCCUACUGGCAGUGGACCUCUUUGGUUCACUCAACUGUGGUUGAGAUCCUAUUUUCCAUCACUUGGUGCUCCAUCCAUUUCUCGUCCUUCUGCUAGCUGUUAUGGGCUAGCUAUGGAGCCCUUAACUCCUGUAAGUAUGUCCAGAAGAGACAUUUUUUCAUUCUUUUAUUCUUUAGAUUCAAUCUCUUCCUUCUUCCCUUUUCCUCCUUUUUUGACUCCGGACUAUGUACAUCCUCCUUCCACUCUAGAUAGCGCGAGCACCUCUCUGCUCAUUUGGAUUCAAUUCUUAACUGGGAGGGAGCUUUUCCACGAUAUCUUAACUGGGACCAACGCCAAAGCAGGGGUAGAAAUUUAUGCUCCCCAAUUUUUUGCCCGGCAACUUGGUUUCGGCCAAACUUGGCCUGUUCCUCUUUGCUAUUCGAAGAACUUAAACGACCGUUUUCAUACCAUUAAUAAGGUGGAAGCAGAGGCUAUAAACGCUCGCAACCUCCAUUUAUCGAGCCAUUUUUCACUAGCCCCUUUUAAUCCUUGUCAUGCUACUCACCCUCUUUUCGAACAACUUUGGCCAUCAGUGAAACGCAGAUUAUUUGCGACUGAGGCCAAUCGUGCCUUUCAUUCAUUAGACCAACCGAGUAUUUCUUCUCCUCCUCCUGUUUUGGUCACUCCUUUGUCUAUUCGGAACCCUUCUCCUUCUCGUCGUACUAAACAAUCUGCUCGUCCAUCUUCUUCCCUCCCUGCCAAGCCAACUAUGGCCAAGAGUGUUCCAAGCCGCAAACGGCCAGCUUCAGCAUUUCCAUCUUGUAUACAAUGAAGUUCAAUUUUUCUCGCCCUUCUUUGAAUUACGGGCAAUAUGAUUCCGUAUUCACAAGUAGACUUCCAAUCCAAGAUUUUAGAGUACCCUGAAGCCAUUUGGGCCAACUCAUUCGCCACGUCGUUAUAUAUCCUAUUGACGCAUUGAAGUUUUACUUGGUCGAAUUCCUCUAAUAACUCUUGGGCGAUCUCAUAUUGACUCAUAAUGGAAUCGCUUUGGCAUUUAAAAUCACCAAUCAAUUGAUGUAUCACCAAUUGAGAAUCGCCCUUAACGAUNCCUCUUUUCGAACAACUUUGGCCAUCGGUGAAGCGCAGAUUAUUUGCGACUGAGGCCAACCGUGCCUUUCAUUCAUUAGAUCAACCGAGUAUUUCUUCUCCUCCUCCUGUUUUGGCCCCUCCUUUGUCUAUUCGGAACCCUUCUCCUUCUCGUCGUACUAAACAAUCUGCUCGUCCAUCUUCUUCCCUCCCUGCCAAGCCAACUAUGGCCAAGAGUGUUCCAAGCCGCAAACGGCCAGCUUCAGCAUCUCCCAUUCUGGAGGAUGAUGUUGAUGAUGAUGAUGAUGAUGUCCCUCUUAUCGUUAAAAGGAAGGUAUUUAAAUUGGCCUAUUUACAAGUAUGCUCUUCCCCAUCUGAAAAUUUUCUGUGUACUGAUGAUCUUUUGGACUUUUCAGAAAAGCUCAGCUUCCCCUUCAAAGGCUUUGGCAUUACCAACUCCUGUUCCAUCAUCCCCUGUUGAGGCUACUUCAUCCAAACCGGUUGAUGAUGGGACCAUGCUUAAAGGUAUAUCUUCAGUCCCAGAUUCUUCAUCACAACUCAUGAAUGAGCCACCUUCCUCCCAGGGCGUCUACCCCCCAAUCACCGAAGCAGAAGGUAGUUCAGUUUUUGAUGUCUUACCUUUGCUCGUGCUAUUGGUUUCUGACUGGUUGCUCUUUGAACUUUGUAGAUACUCCCAUGAGUCCGCCCGUUGUGGCAACGUCUUCUCGCUCGGACAAGGGAAAAUCCUCACAAAUGGACGAGUCAUUGGUGGCCAGCUUGGCUGAGGGUGCACCAUCUUCUACGAUCGUCGACGAGGUAGUUUUUCUCUUUGCCCCAUUCCUAUUUCCAACUUGUUCGUUGUAACGAAUAUUUUUAAUGUUGGCAAUCUUCUUUGCAGGAUGCUGACAGGAUUGUUCGUUCUAUCCAGGAUUUGUUCGCUUCCUGGGGGCAGGUCCAAAUGCCUCGCCCUACUCCAUAUGAUCGUCCUGCUGCUUCUUCAGAAGAGGACUUGAAGUUCUUGAAGGGGUUGGUAUUUGAGUACGUGUCCUUCAUGGACAUGGACAUUGGAAGGGCUAGUGUUGCCAGACACAAGGAUGAACUUGAAUGUUUGAGUGCGAAAUUAGAGCAAGCACUGACGCUUCCGUCGCUCAAUCUUUCUGCCGACUUUAAAGCGACGUUGAAGGUCAUUCACUCCGAGGUCCUUACUAUGCUGGCCAAGAAUGCUGAACUAAAGGCCAAGCGUACUCAAUAUCUUCGAGCCGUAGCCGAGAAAGAGUCUCUGUGCUUGGAGAUCAACAAGGCUAAGGACGAGUUGCAAGAGAUCUCUUCCGAAGUCAUGAUUGAAGACUCCUUGAUGGUUAACUUGACUGCUCAGAUGAGGAAACUUCAAGCCAAAAUGGACGAUUGUAGAGCGAGGAUGGCCGCUAAAAAGCGCAACGCCUCUCAGGGAAUUGAGCGAACCAAAUCCUUGGUCGAACAGUAUAAGAAGCUGGAGGUUGAUGAUGAUGACGUUGCGGCUGAAUUGAACAUCACUUCCUCCCGACAGAACGAGGAUUGGGAAAAACUUAGGGAACGAAUUCGUUCCUUAUGGGGUAGUUUGUAAUUAAGACACACGAUGUCUUUUCUUUUUUGUACUUUUGUCCCUUAUUAAUGAACAUUAAUUUCUUGUGCAUUUAUUUGAUGUUUAUUUUCUAAUCAUCAAUUCUUCAAGCAUUUAACUGCUUUGCAUUAAGAAUUUUGUCCNGUUGUAACGAAUAUUUUUAAUGUUGGCAAUCUUCUUUGCAGGAUGCUGACAGGAUUGUUCGUUCUAUCCAGGAUUUGUUCGCUUCCUGGGGGCAGGUCCAAAUGCCUCGCCCUACUCCAUCUGAUCGUCCUGCUGCUUCUUCAGAAGAGGACUUAAAGUUCUUGAAGGAGUUGGUAUUUGAGUACGUGUCCUUCAUGGACAUGGACAUCGGAAGAGCUAGUGUUGCCAGACACAAGGAUGAACUUGAACGCUUGAGUGCGAAAUUAGAGCAAGCACUGACGCUUCCGUCGCUCAAUCUUUCUGCCGACUUUAAAGCGACGUUGAAGGUCAUUCACUCCGAGGUCCUUACUAUGCUGGCCAAGAAUGCUGAACUAAAGGCCAAGCGUACUCAAUAUCUUCGAGCCGUAGCCGAGAAAGAGUCUCUGUGCUUGGAGAUCAACAAGGCUAAGGACGAGUUGCAAGAAAUCUCUUCCGAAGUCAUGAUUGAAGACUCCUUGAUGGUUAACUUGGCUGCUCAGA
rnacentral:lncRNA from 1 species